rnacentral:lncRNA from 1 species
UGACAGUGGCUGUGAAAAGAAGCCAGCCAGGGUCAGGUCAAGGCCUUCCAGAAUUUCAGACAGAGAUUAUGGUUUUGUCCAAGAUUCGCCACAGGCACCUGGUUUCCUUAAUUGGGUAUUGUGAUGAGAGGUUGGAGAUGAUUCUGGUCUAUGAAUACAUGGAAAAAGGAACCCUAAGGGACCAUUUGUAUAACACAAAGUUUCCAACCUUGUCCUGGAAGGCGAGGCUUCAAAUUUGCAUUGAUUCUGCCAGGGGUCUUCAUUACCUUCACAAAGGAGCAGCUGGGGGAAUCAUUCACCGUGAUGUGAAGUCCACAAACAUAUUGCUUGAUGAGAACCAUGUCGCUAAAGUUGCUGAUUUUGGUCUUUCAAGGUCAGGUCCUCUUGGUACUGAAUCGUAUGUCACCACUGGUGUUAAAGGCACUUUUGGGUAUCUUGAUCUUGAGUAUUUCAGGUCGCAACACCUGACAGAAAAAUCUGAUGUCUACUCAUUUGGGGUAGUUCUUUUGGAAGUUUUAUGUGCAAGAGCAGCGAUUGACCCAUCUCUUCCAAGAGAUCAGAUAAACUUGGCGGAAUGGGGAUUGCUUUGCAAAAACAAGGGGACACUCCAAGAGAUCAUCGAUCCUUCCAUCAAGGAUCAAAUUGAUCAAAACUCACUCAGAAAAUUUAGUGAGACGAUAGAAAAAUGCUUGCAAGAAAAUGGUUCUGAUAGGCCAACCAUGGGUGAUGUGUUAUGGAACUUGGAGUAUGCGGUGCAGCUUCAGAGAGGUGCAAAUUCAAUGCAGAGAGACCCGUAUGAGAAUAGUUCUAGCAGUGUUUCUACAUCACUUCAACUGCCAAAUGUUCGGCGUCUUCCUUCACUCUCCACACUGAGUGAAGCCGAUGAUAUAAUUGUGAGGCAUGAUGAAUCCGAUAGUGCUGUGGAUUACGUUUUCUCCCAGUUGAAGAUUGAUGAUGCCAGUUAGAAUAUCGAGCACUUCAAGGCAGACUUCUAUUCGGAAAUGUCUUGAGUAGAGUAGUUGCUUUUAAGAUAGAUUUUCCAACCUUUCGUCUUUUUGUUUCUGUAGUUUUUGUUGUCAGUCUAUCACAGGGUUCUGUCCUUAAUUUCACCAUCCUCGUCUGGUUUCCUUAAUUAGUUUGAGUGAAAUAUGUAUUCAAAUAUUUUCUUUGCAGUAACCAACAAGCCUUGGAAGCCAUAAAUACCAUUAUUUUGAAUGCUUUAUGUUCUCCAAAGUUUAGAAGAAGGAAACCUGAGAAUGAUGUAAGUCUCAAUGUCUCAGUCAAAAAACACGUUGCUUACUUGUUCUUUCAAGUUUCAUAUUGAUGAAUUAUAUUGACCAAACAAUAAUUUCCCUUCGCAAUUUUCCUUUCUAAAGUGUUUGAGCAAUAUGGUGCAGACUUGGAAGGGGAAACUGCUACCUAUUUUCACUCCUCCAACAAAAUUGAGGAAGUUUCACUACUUAAGAUGAGAAUGGUAAAAAAGGGAAUGGGUAUAUAAAAACGAAGAAUAAGUCAAAUGCCUGAAAAUGAACCUGAGACUACGCCAACUAAAGAAGCUCAAGCCAAAGGAAGAGAAGAAAAAUCUCUUUCAUUUUUUGAACAACCUCUGUUGGUUAAGUUAGACAAAAUAUAUAAUUACCAGUUAAAGAAUGAUAAGGAAUAUGAUGAAACAUUUGAAAGCAUUCAUUUAUCUCUUCAGAGCAUUAAAAAAAAACUAGAGAGAUUGAAUUGAGAGUAGUGGUGAAUUUAGUGAAGAAUAGGAUUUCUUCAUGCAUCUUGCAUCUUCUGCAUUUCACUUAAUUAUAUUUUGUACUCAUUAUUAAAAUUUGUCAUAUUCAAGAUAAAUUUGAAUAAGAUUUACUUCAGUUAAGUAAUUUGUGUUUGUAUGACUCUUAUUUCUAUUUAAUUUUAUGCUUAAAGUAUCUAUUUUAAUAUGUUAAAAUGAAAAAUAAUCCAUUAAAUUGAAAAAAAUAAUGAAUUAAAUAGUCAAAUAACAUAUUAAAUAUACUUGUUUUUUUACUUUGUAAUGUUUUUUAAAGUAGAUAAUUAAUUACAUAAUCGAUUAUUUUAAAGAUAGGUUUAUUCUGGAACCACAACUUUUGUUCAGGAUAAUCAAUUACCAUUUAUCAUAAUUGAUUAUUCCAUAAUUUUUUUUGUAUAAAUAUUAUCUUUUUUAUUGCACAUGCUAUCUUUUAUUAUUCUUGUCAUAAUUUCUUUUUGAUAAUGUCCCACGGGGGAGAAUAUAUGUUUGUAUGUUUGAAGAUGUGCAUAUAUAUUUUUGAACUUGUAGUCUUAGUUCUUUGUUGUCUUUUUGCUUGUAUUUUACGUAAGGUUAGGUUUUAUAAUAAGGAGAAAAUACUUAUAAACCUAUUCUUUUUCACAUUAAGUAUAAAUAAGAAAAAAAAUAUAUAUAAGAAAGAAAUACUUACAAACCUAUUAUUUUAAAGAUUUUUUAUUGAAAGUAAUAUACUAAUCUCUUAUAUAAAUUGAUUCAUGUCUCUUUGUUAUAGAAUAUAUACAAGAGUCUCAAUUUUAAUACUUUUUCUCAUUUACUCCAACAUCCAAAAGAUCCAAUACGAUCAAUAAUAAACGGAUCAUGGUUUUGUCUCAAAUUUGUGAGGGACACCUUGUUUGCUUAAUUGGGGUACUGCAAUGAAAGCUUUGAGAUGAUAUUGAUGAAAAAUGUUAUUGAUUUUUUUUUUAAUUUAAUAAGUCAAUUUAUUUAAUUCCUGAGUUAAAUCGAAUUAACAAUUUUUUUAUGGAUUAAAUAUAUUUUUUUUUCUUGUAACACGAAAUUGAUUUUUGUUUUUUUUUUAAAAUUUAAACAAUCCAUGUUACUUAUAUUAUGGAAAUUAUUUGAAUAGAUCUUUUGUACGUGAAUGAUUGUUAUUUUUUUUCAAAAUUCAUUGUUUUAAUUACAUAUUGGUGUCACUAUAACUAUUUUUAGUGGAUUGAUGAAGUAUAAUCUUAAAUUAGAUCAAUUUCACCUACAAAAGGAAAUAUCUCAAUCAUUUUCAUAUUACAUAAAUGAGAUGGAUACGUAUGAUUUAAAAUUUAAAUAAAAAGAAAAUUAAUUCUAUGUUAUAGUAGAAAACUUUUUUAUUUAUUAUAAAAUUAAUUGAAUUAAGCUGAUUCAGUUUGAUGCAUGAGCACUUAUUCAUUAACUUGUCAUUCGGAUAACUCGUGAACUUAUGUCCGGAAAAGUUAACAAAUAAAAACCGUAGCACACGUUUCCAUUUGCAAUUUUAUUUUAUUUUAUUUUAAUUUCUUUUACAAUUGUUAUUUUUUUAUAUCUUUAUAUUAACAAAAAGAAGUUAAGAAACUCAUAUCAGUAUUUUAUAUACUUUUUAUAACUUUUAACAAAUUAAUAGUAGAUAAUAACAAACAUAAAAUAAAAAGAAAAUAAAAUAAAACAAAAAACAAAGGAGCAACUAUGAUAUUUUUAAACUCAACCAAAAUCAGGUAUUCCUGAAAGAUGAAUGGGCAAUUUUUUUAGACUUAAUUAUAUUUCAGUUCUUAAAAUUUGUAAAUCCAAUUUUGACUUUUUAAAGUUAAAAACAUUUUAGUCUUUUAAAUCUAAAAAAAAAUAUUAUUUCAGUCCCUCAGUUAAUAUUUAUAGAAUAAAAAUAUUUUUUUAUAUUAAAAAACUGUUUUUAAUACAUUUUAUAGAUCAAACUAAAUUCACUUCCAAUUUAAAAAAAAUGUUAUCCUGUAUGAAAAAAAAAAUUAACAAAAUAUUAUUUUUCUAAAAAUGCUGAACAAAACAUGAAGCCGUCCAAUUGGUACAAGCAUGUAACUUUACUCUACAAUAAGUGUAUUGAAUUUUAUAUAUAAUAAUUUUUUGUUCUAUUAUUUUAUGAUGAUUUUUUAAUUUUAGUCAAAGUUUUGAACAGAUUAUUCGUAUCAUAUUAACAAUUAAUAACACAAUGUCAUUAAUUAAUUUAUUAACAGAAUUGAUAUUUAACAAUUUUACAUAAAAAAUUACACUGACUCAUAUUUUAAAAGAAUGAACCAAAUUGAGUGGCAUAAAUAAAAAAUAAAUGAUAAUAAAAAAACCCAUUAAACUCAUUAUAUACAAGUCAUCACAUAUUCAAAUCCAAAAUCAUUUUGUAAUAAUAAUUUUUUAACUGAAGAAAAUUGUUGUGGUACUUUUUCUCUCUCCACAACUUCUUGGAAUUUUAACAGAAGAAAAAUCAUUUGGAUUUUUGACUUCUGUUGUAUUCCCUUCCAAGAAAACCAGGACAAAACAUCUGAAAAUUUUUGUUCUUCAGGAAAGAUAUUUGUACUCUACUUGCUGGCCAUUUAAUUAUUUAUUACAACAAGUCUCCAUGUCUGCGCGCUUCCGCAAUUGGUUAAAGACAAAAGUAAUGAAAACUUUCAAUCUUCUUUUUCACGGCUCUAAUAGUUGCGGUAGUUGAUAAAUCCACUUCAGAAUUAAAUAAAAGGGGAAAGAGGAAAUAUGAACAAAAAUCAACGCCGACUCCUUGACCAGUGCUCAAGUCUUCCUCUCAUUUCAGUCCACAGACUAAUAAUCUUAGUCUAAAAAGAUGCAAAUAUCAUACCCCAGGCUAAGCCCAGAUCACCCCCUUUCCAUGGAGAUUCCUAAGCUCCACAUAAUUCAACACUCUCGCUGUAUAGCACUUCUUUUCCUUCUUCAGUUCUCAUCACUGCACUUCCCCUCCCUCGGCUACAACGUCCCAGAUAAGUACUUUAUCAGUUGUGGGUCAGACAACAGUGUUAACGAAAGUGGCAAGGUUUACGCUGCUGAGUCAAAACUUGAUGCCAGUUUUAGCGGCAGUAAUACCGAAAGGAAUCAGUCAUCGGUGCCUUCUCCUCUUUACCAAACAGCAAGGAUUUUUCGAAGGGAAUCUUGGUACAAGUUCAACAUCGAUUUAAAGGGCACCUACCUGCUACGCCUCCAUUUCUUCCCUUUCUCUUCCCCCAGUAAUCUUUCCUCGGCCAGGUUCAACGUUUCAGUUCCUGGUUUCUGGUUGUUGCAAAAUUUUAAUGGUACAAAUGAUACCAAUAGCAACUCGGCUUCAGUUAAAGAAUUUUUCAUGGAAAUCAGUCCCCCCACCUUCAGAGUAACUUUCAGACCUCUGGAAUCAUCGUUUGCGUUUGUGAAUGCCAUAGAACUGUUCGUACUACCCCUCCAUCUGAUAUCUGAUAAGGUGUCGUUUUUCAAACCUAUUGGGGGUACAACUCCUUAUAGCGGAGGUUUGUACUCUCGGGUGUUGGAGACCAAACAUAGGCUUAAUGUUGGUGGUCAACAUACCAAAGAUCUCUUAUUGAGAAACUGGAUUCCAGAUGAUAUUCAUCUAAUGUAUACAGGAAACGCCAAGAAUCGUUCCCCUUACAAUGGUGAAAUCGGGUACCAUGUAGAUGAUGACUCCGAUGGUCCAAACGCAGCUAGAUAUACUGCGCCAACUCAGGUGUACGGAACUGCUAAGGAAACUAACCUCUCUGUCAAUGCCACAGACUUUGGACUUUUCAACAUAACAUGGGCUCUUCCGGUGGACAACAAAACAGAUCAUUUCCUUCGGCUUCACUUCUGUGACUAUUUGAGUUCACAAGGUGGCCUUACAUACUUCGAACUUUCCAUUUAUGACGCCCUUGUCAUGCAGGUAAAUAGUGACGGAAACGUGUCUAACGAGUUGCCUGCCCCUUAUUAUUAUGAUUUCGUGGUGAACUCUGAUGACAAUGGACAUAUUAAGGUCAGCCUAACACCUAAUAGAACCGCUUUAAAUCCAAGUGCAUUUUUAAACGGGCUAGAAAUAAUGAAAGUGAUUGAACCAUCAAAUUCUGUCCCCCCUGACUUGGAAGAAGCCGAUUCCAAUCAUCGUCUUCCUUUGUUGCUGGGUUCAGUUCUCGGUGGUUUAGUCUUGGCUAUUGUUGUAGUGCUACUUGGAUUUCUUUGGCGUUUUAAAAUGAGGAAGGAAAAGCCCGUUGAGAAUUCGGACUGGUUGCCAAUCCCCGUUAAUGCUGGAGGAAGUUCUCACAGCAGAUUGACUGAUAUAACCAGUCACGGGUCUCCCCUUCCCAACAUAAACCUAGGGCUCAAAAUUCCCUUGAUUGAUCUUCAACUUGCAACAAAGAAUUUCCACGAAAGUCAGCUGAUUGGCAAGGGUGGUUUUGGCAACGUCUACAAGGGAGUCCUCAAGAAUGGCAUGACAGUGGCUGUGAAAAGAAGCCAGCCAGGGUCAGGUCAAGGCCUUCCAGAAUUUCAGACAGAGAUUAUGGUUUUGUCCAAGAUUCGCCACAGGCACCUGGUUUCCUUAAUUGGGUAUUGUGAUGAGAGGUUCGAGAUGAUUCUGGUCUAUGAAUACAUGGAAAAAGGAACCCUAAGGGACCAUUUGUAUAACACAAAGUUUCCAACCUUGUCCUGGAAGGUGAGGCUUCAAAUUUGCAUUGAUUCUGCCAGGGGUCUUCAUUACCUUCAUAAAGGAGCAGCUGGGGGAAUCAUUCACCGUGAUGUAAAGUCCACAAACAUAUUGCUUGAUGAGAACCAUGUUGCUAAAGUUGCUGAUUUUGGUCUUUCAAGGUCAGGUCCUCUUGAUACUCAACCGUAUGUCAGCACUGGUGUUAAAGGCACUUUUGGG